rnacentral:lncRNA from 1 species
CACCGCAAUUUAAUUCACUCUCCGCUCGGGCUCAGACUGGAACAGGGAAACAGGGAACCGAGAAUGGGGACUGGGAAUGGGAGCAGGGAUCCAUUGGGGGUACAAGGGAGCCAUGACCAUGGACUUUGGCAGCGAUGCAAAACUGCAACAUGCUCCGAUCACACACACAAACACACACACUCCUCAUUCGCUACUCACUCUUUCUACUCUCUUCGCU